rnacentral:rRNA from 1 species
GAUGAACGCUGGCGGCGUGCUUAACACAUGCAAGUCGAACGAAGCACUUAAGAUUGAUUCCUCGGAUGACGUCUUUUGUGCCUUAGUGGCGGACGGGUGAGUAACGCGUGGGUAACCUGCCUCACACAGGGGGAUAACAGUUAGAAAUGACUGCUAAUACCGCAUAACCCGAUAGGAUCGCAUGAUCCAGACGGAAAAGAUUUAUCGGUGUGAGAUGGACCCGCGUCUGAUUAGCUAGUUGGUGAGGUAACGGCCCACCAAGGCGACGAUCAGUAGCCGGCCUGAGAGGGUGAACGGCCACAUUGGGACUGAGACACGGCCCAAACUCCUACGGGAGGCAGCAGUGGGGAAUAUUGCACAAUGGGGGAAACCCUGAUGCAGCGACGCCGCGUGAGUGAAGAAGUAUUUCGGUAUGUAAAGCUCUAUCAGCAGGGAAGAAAAUGACGGUACCUGACGAAGAAGCCCCGGCUAACUACGUG